UUGAACGCUGGCGGUAUGCUUAACACAUGCAAGUCGAACGGGGGUAGUAAUACCCUAGUGGCGGACGGGUGAGUAAUGCAUGGGAAUCUGCCUGAUAGUGGGGGACAACGCGGGGAAACUCGCGCUAAUACCGCAUACGCCCUACGGGGGAAAGAGGGGGAUCUUCGGACCUCUUGCUAUCAGAUGAGCCCAUGUCGGAUUAGCUAGUUGGUAGGGUAAAGGCCUACCAAGGCGACGAUCCGUAGCUGGUCUGAGAGGACGAUCAGCCACACUGGGACUGAGACACGGCCCAGACGCCUAAGGGAGGCAGCAGUGGGGAAUAUUGGACAAUGGGGGAAACCCUGAUCCAGCAAGACCGCGUGUGUGAAGAAGGACUGCGGGUUGUAAAGCACUUGCAGUUGGAAAGAAAAGCCGGAGGCUAAGAUCCGGGGGUCUUGACGUUACCAACAGAAGAAGAACCGGCUAACUCCGU
rnacentral:rRNA from 1 species